UACGUAGGGGGCUAGCGUUGUCCGGAAUCAUUGGGCGUAAAGAGCGCGUAGGCGGCCAGAUAAGUCCGGUGUGAAAGUCACAGGCUCAACCUGUGAAUGCCGCUGGAAACUGUCUGGCUAGAGUCCGGGAGGGGCGAGUGGAAUUCCUGGUGUAGCGGUGAAAUGCGCAGAUAUCAGGAGGAACACCAAUGGCGAAGGCAGCUCGCUGGGACGGUACUGACGCUGAGACGCGAAAGCGUGGGGAGCAAACAGG
rnacentral:rRNA from 1 species